UACCUUCAAGGUACUCAAAGCGCUUUGACACUACUUCCACAUUUACCCAUUCACACACACAUUCACACACUGAUGGAGGGAGCUGCCAUGCAAGGCGCUAACCAGCACCCAUCAGGAGCAAGGGUGAAGUGUCUUGCUCAGGACACAACGGACAUGACGAGGUUUACCAUAUGAGCAGCAUGGGGGAUUUAUGCAGGAAGCAAAGAAACACUUUCCCACAACCCCUGCUGUGCGAGAUGGCCUGCACUCGACAUUAGAAUGGAAAAUCAUCUACACCUGACAGAGCUUGUCUAACGAGAGCGCGGCAUCUUGCAGGAGACUACGGUCCAUCCAGACCCACACCUCCCACCACCUGAACAGUUGUUUCCCCUCGGCCAUCAGACACAUGAACAAUUAAAGCUGCAAGCAGCGAUGGACUGGACCAACUUUGGCGGCACAUAAAAUCCAAACCGGAGCAGUAAUUAAAACUCUUUCAUCAACUUUUAAUCAGAAGGGUUCAAUCUCUCUCCUGUGCUAGUUUGAAGCCGACACAACAAACGCGCUCAGAGGAGAUAAUGUUUGAAAAAAGGUGACCGGUUUUUACAAAACGUUUGUUUUGAAGGGGGAAUUGCAAACUUUCUGUUGAAUUUUGCUGGGGGUUGUCAGUAUAUGAAAUGUAGGUCUAAGUGAGACCUACAUAGAGGGUUUUUGUUUCAUGUCUCUACGACAUUCCUACUGGAAGUUACAGGCAAUUUUGUCUGUGUUUUCUUCCUAGGAUCAGUUGUGUCUGUGUUUUCUUCCUAGAGGGCGCUAGAGCGCAAUUUUGAGUUUUGGGGUUGGGUUUUUUAUGAGAGCGCAAUUUUUGACAGUCCUCAUGCGUGUGUCCAGUUUGGUGAGUUUUGAAGCAUGUUGAGGGGGUCAAAUUACAGCUCAAAGAGGCAAAAGUGACUGUUUUUACUAAACUUUUGUUUUGAAGGGGGAAUUGCAAACUUCCUGUUGAUUUUUGCUGAAAGAUGUUAGAGUAUGAAAUCUAGGUCUAAGUGAGACCUACAUAGAGGUUUUUGUUUCAUGUCUCUACGACAUUCCUACUGGAAGUUAUAGGCAGUUCUGUCUGUUUUUUUUCCUAGGGAGCGCUAGAGCGCAAUUUUGAGUUUUGGGUUGUUGUUUUUUUUUUAUUAGUUGGCAAUUUUUGCCAGUCCUGAUGUGUGUGUCCAAUUUGGUGAGUUUUGAAGCAUGUUAAGGGGGUAAAAUUACAGCUCAAAGAGACGCCCGGUAUAAUAAUAAUAAAACCUUACAAUUACAAUAGGGUCCUCUGUCCCAAAGGGACAUUGCGGUCCCUAAUAACAAGAUCUGAUAGCUCAGUUACAGUUCGUGUUAUUCUAUUCCGUGUUAUAUGUGUUUAAUGUUGCACGA